UACGAAGGGAGCUAGCGUUGUUCGGAAUCACUGGGCGUAAAGCGCACGUAGGCGGUAUUUGUCAGUCAGGGGUGAAAUCCCGGGGACCUCAACCUCGGAACUGGCCUUUGAUACGAGCAAGUCUUGGAGUUCGAGAGAGGUGGGUGGAAUUCCGUAGUGUAGAGGUGAAAUUCGUAGAUAGUUAGGAAGAACACCGGUGGCGAAGGCGGCCCACUGGACUCGGCAGUACUGAACUGGCUGAGGUGCGG
rnacentral:rRNA from 1 species